rnacentral:rRNA from 1 species
UACAGAGGUGGCAAGCGUUGUUCGGAAUUACUGGGCGUAAAGGGCGCGUAGGCGGCCCUCUCAGUCAGACGUGAAAUCCCCCGGCUUAACCUGGGAACUGCGUCUGAUACUGGAGGGCUUGAAUGCGGGAGAGGGAUGCAGAAUUCCAGGUGUAGCGGUGAAAUGCGUAGAUAUCUGGAGGAAUACCGGUGGCGAAGGCGGCAUCCUGGACCGACAUUGACGCUGAGGCGCGAAAGCUAGGGGAGCAAACGGG